CCGGUGAGCAUCCGCUCACCGGGUUCCUGACCCCGGUACCUGAUACGGCCGGGGCAG
rfam:Streptomyces sp. WM6386 contig103.1, whole genome shotgun sequence.